AACUUAUAUAGACCGAACACGAUUAAAAAUUAAUUAAGUAGGAGUAGCAUAUAUUGUCUCAAUCUCGAUUAGUAAUCUAUAUUUUGUAGCGUUAAGUGAUUUAACUUUUUUUACAUAUUGUAUGUUUUAGAUAUACAAUUAAUUAAGUUAUCGUUAUUUGACAAAUACUGUACUACCAGUUAGGCAAAUCUAGAUGCUUGAUUCUUGAAACUUCUCUGUAAAAUUAUUGGCAUAAUUUUCUUCCACGUUCUUGAAUUGCAUUGUGAUGUUGCAUUUCUGGAAGAUCCAAAUGUUUCAGAAGUAUUCAAAUCUGUUUGUAACUUGUGAAUAACCAAAGCAUAAUCCGUCCACGCUGCAAAUCAACGGGGACAAGAAGCUCUACCGAACAUCCCUGCCUAUCUCAGACGCUGAUCUACUAAGUACUAACCCUAACGGAAUGAAAAUUUGCUAGAGUCAUGACGGCCUAACUCAAAAGUCCCCAUCAAGGUUGAACAGUACCUGCCUUGAACAGUUGAACUAUAGUGAUCCAAGUAUGCCUAGUCUACAUGCUGGUUUUGGUGGUAUCAUGCUCACCACCUGCAUCAGCUUUCUAUCUCAUUCACAGGUAAAAAAAAUCAAAAUUUCUCUGUUUUUGAGUUGUUGAGUAAUAGACAAAUCUUGCAUCCAUAGUCACAACUGUCGUCAUAAAAAGAUUUGGGAUUUGCAAGAUGGAACAGCAGUGGUUAUAGGAAGGUAAGACGAAUUUCCUGAGGAUAUGAACUUCCUACUAUUCUUGAUCAAGUUCGUUGAUUCGUCUGCUUCAAAGCAACCAAAAACUAAUCAUAAACGAGGGAGACCUACGUCGUAGAAAUUUGAGUCCUGCCUUAGAAUCAUAGGUUUUAAAAAACACAUCAUUAUGGUUAUACAUAUGAGAGAGAAGAUGAAGAAACUUAGACAUCAUAUUCAUAGUUAGGUGAGACAGACGUAUUUCUCUUUCAUUUUUCAUCUCUUGAGAGACCUCAACAAGAGGCUCAUCUCUCAACAUCAGAUCCAUGCUAUAUAUGUGUCCAAAAAAAGUAGUUUUGGUGGAUGCAGACACAUACAUAGAUCAAGAAAUAAUAUAUUUGGUGGAUGUUUCAAAUAUUUUGAUAUCAUUCCAUUCUUGAUGUAGAUGGAACAAUAUGCAGCUUUAAAGAGCUAGUACAUGAUA